UACAGAGGGGGGCAAGCGUUGUUCGGAAUUACUGGGCGUAAAGGGCGCGUAGGCGGCCCGCUAAGUCGAACGUGAAAUCCCCAGGCUCAACUUGGGAACUGCGUCUGAUACUGGAUGGCUUGAAUUCGGGAGAGGGAUGCAGAAUUCCAGGUGUAGCGGUGAAAUGCGUAGAUAUCUGGAGGAAUACCGGUGGCGAAGGCGGCAUCCUGGACCGAGAUUGACACUGAUGAGCGAAAGCUAGGGGAGCAAACGGG
rnacentral:rRNA from 1 species